GGCUGAAGGAACCAUUGCGCCUCUCUCUGACUGCCUCUGUCCCCUGAAGUUCAACAUUUGUGUUUGAUUCCAGCUCAAUCCUCCAGACCUGGGGUGGCCUAGCUCACCUGACCUAAAUCUCUGACUGACCUGGACAUUUUUAGAAGAACAAUAUCCACGCUGGUGCGGAUCCAGAUGUAUCACUCAGCUGUAGUGGGAAGAAUACAAAAUUAGUGGUUUUAACAGACUUCUGGAGAUGCUGCCAGCAUAUCCCUCCACAUCACCAUGUCCUCAGAAACUAAUGUCCUACUCCUGACUUGCGCUGCCACCCCUCCUGAAGCCACACUGAGUCAAGGAGACUGACCUGCAAGCAGUCAACACAAAGGCUGAGAGAAAGAACUGUAAGACUUUCAGUCUCAUCACACUGCAACUUGGCAACAUUUAAGAGGAAUCUGUGGGAAGCUUUGGUGGAGGUGGUGGCAGCACUGUGAGGAAUGUCACAGUCUACAAUAGGAGAUUCUCAUAGGACGUAUGCACGAGGUAACUGACUAUAGCUGUAACAAGUCAAACUGAUCAUUUGUAGGUCACUUGGGGUUUUAAACACACUCUUCUGUAUUAACUUCUCUCCUCAUCGCUGUGGCCAAACACCCGGCAAGAGGCAGUGUAAGAAAGGACACUCACAAUCUGGGAGGACGCCGUUCACUGUGCUGCAGAAGCCAUGACAGGACGUGGCAGGAAUCCGAUGUAGCUUGUCAUAUUGUUGUGAAGUCAUCAAGAGGGAUAUGAAUUUAUACAACCAGUGUGGAGAAUGGAAUGAAGAUUGUUAAAUAUAGAACUACCAUAUAUAUAUAUAUAUAUUUGACAAUCUCACUUCUGGGUACAUAUCCAAAGGAAAUGAAAUUAGUGUGUCAAAGAGACACCUUGCUCAUUGUAAUGCUCUUUACAAGAAUGAAAAUUUAAAAGCAACCCACAGAUCUGUCAAUAGCUGAAGAAAGAGGUAUGAUCCACAUAUCUUAAAGGGAAUACUAGAGUAGCCUUCAAAACGCAAGGACACUCCUUUGUGACAACAUGGAUCUGCAGGCUAUUGUGAGUCAUUAACUUCUAAUAAACACCAGAAAUCUGUGUGCCUUCAGUUUCCACUUGUACUGUAGCUACAAUGGACUUUGAAAGUGACUAUCUGCUUCUCGGUCUUAGCGCCAUCUUCCUUGACUAAUGCGCCAUGAGAGUGAAGUGGCGGAAGAAGAGAAUGCACAGGCUGAAGCGCAAGAGAAGAAAGAUGAGGCAGAGGUCCAAGUAAUACCAGCUUGUGCACCCGUGAAGCCUGGCGGAGCAUAAGUGAGGGAUGCUGAAGGCCAGGACACCGGGAACAAGUUGUUGGACUGUAUGCUGCUGUCGGUACUAAGUCUCAGUAGACAAGGAAUGUCGUCACCUCGCUGAGAUCACCUGGGAAAAUGACUGCCUUUCUUAUAACCAAAAACAGUCCCGCUGGCACUCUGCCCUGGACCUCUGGCAUUCUGGACUAGUUCUGUUUUCUCUUGUGCCCAAGUGUAACUCGUGUACAAUAAACCCUCUUACUGUCAGCUGAAGAAUCAAAAAACAAAACGAAAGAACGAGAGAGAGAGAGAGAGAGAGAGAGAGAGAGAGAGAGAGAGAGAGAGAAAGUGACUAUGCGACUAUUUGUUGUGUGACAAAACUUUUCCUGGGAAGAAGCAACACAUGUCUACUCACCCAGACAGGGAUCAUAUGACAGACCAAAGUAUUGGUAUCCCCUGCACUGGCUGGUUUUUGUGUGUGUCAAUUUGACAUAAGCUAGAGUCAUCACAGAGAAAGAAGCUUCAGUUGAGGGAGGAGCUGCCUCCAUGAGAUCCAGCUGUUGUACAUUUUCUCCAUUAGUGAUCAAUGGUGGAGGGCCCAAGCUCCUUGUGGGUGAUGCAAUCCCUGGGCUGAUAGUCCUGGGUUCUAUAAGACAGCAGGGUGAGUGAGCCAGAGGGAGCAAGCCAGUAAGGAGCACCCCUCUGUGGCCUCUGCAUCAGCUCCUGCCUCCAGGUCCCAGUCCUGCUUGAGUUCUUGUCCUGACUCCCUCCAAUGGUAGACUAUGAUCUAGAAAUAUAAGCCAAAUAAACCCUUUCCUCUCCAA